GUAGCAAAGGACCUCUGUGUGUCUCCCUUCCUUGGUGGUUGCCCCCCAUAAGCGCUAACGACCUACCCGUCAGCUGCCAGGCCCUGCGUGACCACCCUUCUCAUCUCAGCCACCAGCUGAUCCCCAGUCACUCCGCUGAGGUAUUGAUUUGAGCAGCCUUGGCUAUCUUUAUUAAGUGCAUUUUAGGUGCACAGAAAACACCACGGAGCAUUUCAAAUCCCCAGUACGUCGCACAGAGGCAGUGUUUGUAAUACACUGCUCACUGCUUCCAUGAGCUGGACAACCCUCAUACGCUAUGGGCCAAAUCGUACCCUUGGAUGAGUAUGCCUGAUUCCCACUGCUGUCAGUGUUGCUGUCAUUGAAAUCUGUGGGAGUUCAGCUUGUGCAUCCAAAGGGAAAUCUGGCCUAAAAUCUAUUGUGCUCAUACUCCUCCUCCUUCGAUAUUUCUUGUUUGCCCGACUC
rnacentral:lncRNA from 1 species